UGGGGAAUUUUUGGCAAUGGGGGCAACCCUGACCAAGCAACGCCGCGUGGGUGAUGAAGUCUCUUGGGACGUAAAACCCUUUCGACGGGGAAGAAACCGCAAGGUUGACGGUACCCGUAGAAGAAGCCCCGGCUAACUCCGUGCCAGCAGCCGCGGUAAUACGGGGGGGGCAAGCGUUGUUCGGAAUUACUGGGCGUAAAGGGUGCGUAGGCGGUCCGCUAAGUUGGAUGUGAAAACUCUGGGCUCAACCCAGAGCCUGCAUCCAAAACUGGCAGGCUAGAGUUCUGGAGGGGGUAGCGGAAUUCCUGGUGUAGCGGUGAAAUGCGUAGAUAUCAGGAGGAACACCGGUGGCGAAGGCGGCUACCUGGACAGAAACUGACGCUGAGGCACGAAAGCUAGGGGAGCAAACAGGAUUAGAUACCCCCGUAGUCC
rnacentral:rRNA from 1 species